AUAUCCGGACUCGUGAGGAUUGUUACAAAACAUGACAACUGUAGCUCGACCUACAUGGGCACCUGCAAAAGGUGGUAAUGAACAAGGUGGUACUCGAAUUUUCAGCCCCUCCCAAAAAUACUCUUCAAGGGACAUUGCCUCUCACACAACCCUAAAGCCCAGAAAAAGAUGGUCAA